GACGUCUAUGCCUUCCCGGCAGCCCUCGCGGCGCAGGCUGAUAUGGAUCUGCUCUGCAGGCGUUAUUGUGGUUCCUGUUGCGGGAACAGCGGUUGUCUGGGUCUGGGGAAUCUCUGGCCUGCCAGCCUGCUAGUGCGCCACGGGAGGCCUCGCCCUCCGCGUCCCAAGCUGUAAUGCCGGCCGCCGCGUGGAGCCCGCUCACCCUCCUUGUGGGCGGAGCGCGCACUUAGGAGCGGGCUUCCAGAGCGCCCCGAACGUGUCGCCCGGAGCCUGGGCGCGCAGAGGUCUGUGGUCGGGCCGCUGGUGGCGAGUAGCCCGCAGAGAGUGUGGAACUAGGAACCGUGGCCGGCCGCGGGUAGCCGGCGCUCCGCUGUGCACACUGCCUUCCACGCAGAUGAGCGUCGUAAAAACACCAAGUAGCCAGGCAAACGUCCGCCUCCUGGACCCUGGCGCCUCCUGUUCACGGGUCAGCCUGGGACGAAGCCAACACAUCUGCCAUCUGUGAGCCUUUCCCCCCAGGCAACUUGGAUUUCUUCUGCAAACGCGUGUGAGUGUCAGCAUGGGGGGCAGCAGAGCUGACGUCAGCAUGGGGGGCAGCAGAGCUGACGUGCAGGAUAUAGCCCCCAGUGGGUUCCCAUCACCCCCCACACUGGCUGCUCUGACAGCUGGCCCUUGGACAACAUGGGCUUGAACUACAAGGCUCUGCUCACACUUGGGAUUUUCUUCAAUGAACCUGACUGCAGGAAUGGAGACCUACAAGCCACAGAUGCAGAAUAGUGGGCAGGGAGGGCUGAUCAUGAAGGCGGCGCCCAGGGUAAGUUGUGUGGCACUCAGUCCUGGAACUCCAGGACAGUGCGGGCAGGUCAUGGUGCACACAGCAACAGGACAGACUCGGCUCCCACGACAGGGUCCUGGCAGGUUCUGCACUGCCCACGGCUCCCAGCAGGCAGGUGUUGCUGGUCUGAGGACCCCAUACCACAGUCCCCACAACGUUGCCUUGAAGAAACAGCUGACCAUCCACCAGGAGCUGCCCCUUCACUAGGUCCAGAGAUGUUGCGCCUCUGGGGUCACUCCAGACCUGACACCCAGCAUCACUGUGAGGACAUCACACACAGCGCACCUGGGGAUGUUCCCCACACAUGAGACCAGCCCUCAUGCUCUGCUGUCUGCAAUAGGAGGGGGACUAUCCCAGCCCAGAGGGCCUGGCAGACGUGAGCACCGAGAGCAAGUGACCUGGGUGAAGUGUGGGUGUGGUGGUCACUGGGCUGCGGAAAACAAGCCUGACUGACCGGGGGGGGGACCGGUCACAGGCUGAGGGUUCUGUGCCUCGUUUGCAGCUCCCUGUGCGUCUAAAACUCUUCUGAGCUUUAA